GUUUUGUUGGAACACAGCCAUGCCCAUUAUGUUCAUAGGAUCUGUGAUUGUUUUUAUGCUACAAUGGCAGAGCCCAACAGUUAUGACAGAGUGUAUGGCUCAUAAAGCCUAGAAUGUUGACUACUGGUCCUUUACAGAAAAAGUUGGCUGACUCUUGCUCUAGGAGUCAAUUUGAAGUCCUAAACGAAAAACACCAGGGGUUCAAAUACUGAAUACAAACAAGUGAAUGAUUGGAUAAGCAAAGAAGACCUGCAAAUUGGACCAACUACGUAUACUCAAGAAGUGCAUGCCACAAGCUCUGCAUGGGUUUGAAUCCUACUUUACAGGACCAGCCUUUGUUGGAUGCCCAUGGAGACAAGCUGCAAUGAUUUGCUCUCAGGAGCAAAGGAACUUUGUGGCCCACGUAUUCACAUGAACCCAGGAUUGCAGUAAGGGCAGCGGGAGAUCUGCUCAGGAGAGGCCGUUCUUGAAUAUGUAAGAGCUGGGGAUUGUACAAUGCAGUUUUGUGAUAUUCUGAAACAAAAGAUUUUUUUGGGGGUCUAGGAUGAAACCUACAAUAUGAGGGUAAAUGGUGGCUGUAGAAUAAG
rnacentral:lncRNA from 1 species